rfam:Canis lupus familiaris chromosome 2, whole genome shotgun sequence.
AGGAACAUCCGCAGUGGCAGUGGCGGGGCCAGCUCUGGAGCCCUGGAGUCAGCUCCCGCAGUAGCCCCAGAGCUCUCCGUCUGCAGGGCCUGGAGGCUCCGGGGCGGG